rnacentral:rRNA from 1 species
AGUAAAUAGAUACCCCGGUAGUCCACGCCGUAAACGAUGAGUACUAGGUGUAGGAGGUAUCGACUCCUUCUGUGCCGCAGUUAAACACAAUAAGUACUCCGCCUGGGAAGUACGGUCGCAAGAUUAAAACUCAAAGGAAUUGACGGGGGCCCGCACAAGCAGCGGAGCAUGUGGUUUAAAUUCGAAGCAACGCGAGGAACCUUACCUAGACUUGACAUCUCCUGAAUAGUGUAGAGAUACAUGAAGCCCUUCGGGGCAGGAAGACAGGUGGUGCAUGGUUGUCGUCAGCUCGUGUCGUGAGAUGUUGGGUUAAGUCCCGCAACGAGCGCAACCCUUA